AGUGUGGCUCAGUUGGUAGAGCACUUGCCUAGCAUGUAGGAAAUCCUGGGUUUUACCCCAAGCACU
rnacentral:tRNA from 1 species